rfam:TPA: Bos taurus chromosome 19, whole genome shotgun sequence.
UCCCAGGUGGCUCAAUGGCAAAGAAUCUGCCUGCCAAGCAGAAGACAUGGGUUCCAUUCCUGGGUUGGGAA